ensembl:lncRNA
GGGGCAUACUCGGAGGCCCUGCGGGUUAAGCACCUGGUACUCGGGGACACGUCUCUCCAGUCCUCUUACGCCGGGGGUCCAGGCUUUUGGUGCCGGGUCCGUGGUCGCGCGCCGCCAGCUCGCCCGUCUCCAUCCCCUCGGCGCCAAGUCCAGCUGGGCAAGCGUUGCCAUGGCAGCGCCGCGGGCGGGGAUGCGGGAGGCUGAGCGCGCCGCCGGGCUCGCCCCUUUGUGCAGCGGGGGCGGCCGUGCGCUCCCCCUACUCCCUGCGGCCUCCAGCCUCCCGGUCCCGACCCCUGGGAGCGGGCAGAGGGUAGGGUGUGGGGUUGCAGGGGCGCGGGGAGGCGGGAGGAGGGCCGAGGCGAGGACCAGGGGUGGGGCGCCUCCGCCCGCCAGCCGCUCCCGCAUUAAAAUUUCAUGGGCGCUGCAGCAGCUACAAAGACGACGCCGGCUGCGCUCGAGGGACCAGAGGGAGGGAGGCUGCGGACGAGCGCGGGGAGGAGUUUGCGAUGGGAGGCGCUCGCAAGGGCUCCCCCAGUUCUGCGCUGAUAGCCCGGGCACAAAGAGCCCUCUGCACUCGCGCCGCAGGACCGCCGACCCGAGGAAUUUAAUCAGUUGCCUCGAGACCAUGGAAGCAACUAGAAUAAACGGAUCUGAGAUGGUUUAGCCAUCAUGGGCCAGUUUCUUCUCAGCGAUAGUAAUGCUGACGACCCCAGUGUUUGCGGUUUACACACACCCUCCUCAAGUCUUUUCUCAUGGUAUCCCCACCCCCGCAUUUGAACAUAAGUCUUCUGCCCCUUUGGGGGUCAACAGGCCUGUGCAGAAUCAAAAUGCACCACUCUCCAUCAACGUGAUCUUGGAGCAAGUCACUUAAACCCGAAGCUCAGUUUCCCCAUCUGUAAAAUGGACACAAAAAACCCCAACUCAUCGUUUCAUCAGUGGCCCUGUGCGGUGGGCGUCGCUCUCAUCCCCGUUUCCUGGGUAAGAAGACAGUCCCAGCACAGCGGUGCACGUGCUCACGGUGACAGAGCAGGGAUGGGACUCCAUCCCGGAAAGCCUGCGUCCUUUCCAGCGUCUCGGGAUGCUUGGGUCGGCAUGGGCCCGACCAGGAGACCUCCCGGUUUCCUGUUUUGCUUCCGAUCUGCAUCCGAGGAGCUGAGGCAUCACCCUGCCCACCCAUGUCGUUCCAGACGCCUUCCCGUGGCCGCCAGGACCCUGACAGCAUCAGAGGGAUAGCUGAGGGGACCCUUUCUCUCCUCUGCGCCCCCAGGGACGGCAGACACCAGCUUCAUGCCGUGUGGUCAGAUCCACCACGAAAUCCAUACGUGCAGAGGCCUCCUGAAUCUCAGAGGUCUUUGCUUUUCUGGACAUUUCCUAAAAAUGGAAUCGUGCAGCCUGUGGUCUCUUGUGCCUGGCGUCUUUCGCCCCGUAUGAUAUUUCUGAGGUUCGGCCGUAUCGUAAGUGCGACGAGUUCCUGGGAUGCAGGAGAGAGAAGGGAAUGUCAGGGUUCUUCAGGAUGCCCACAACCACACCGGGGAAACAGCCUUGCAGAUAAGUAUUCAAACUUACCAGCCCCCGGCCGGCCAGCCUGCCCCCCUCCUGGUCUAUGCAGGAGAGUGUGGCAGCCAAGAAUCCCCACGGGAGGGGAGAAACUGGUGACGCAGCUCCUUGGCUUUUCACCUCUUUGCCACAAAGAAAGAGCUUGUCCCCAUUUGAUGGGGCCCCCGAAAGGGUAAUUUUCAUGCCCCGCUUUUGGCCUCAAGGCUUGUAUUUUAUAAAUGCCCCCAUCAGGAACUUCUGAGAGCUGAGUUGAAAGACUUGUCUUGAGGACCUGUAGACGGGUGUCAGAAGGAGGCCCGGGACUCCUGGAGAGUUGGGCUGGCGCUUCUCUUCUCUUCUCAGCUCUAGCCCUUUGCCAUUAUAUUUAUCAAACGUGGCCAGGGCUCCUUUGCCAGGCAGUCAAGAGGGGACCUCAGUGCUGUGCCCUCAGGGCGCAUUCUCAUCAGUGCAGGGGUCUGAGUACAUCUCCGGCUCUGGGCCCGCGCCCCAAGUCCUGGGUGCUGACAGCAAACUCUGAAAAUUCGAGCAGAGAGCCCCAGACUCUCCUGCGGUAGGUCUGCCACUCAACAAGGAUAGCUUUGCUGUCCCCAAAAGCAAUACCUGGGGGAUGGUUCUGGGUCAGGAUUAGUGGGCAAUUGGAGGAGGGUGGGAGGGGGCAGAAAAAUAACCGGCUGAGCACAGGGCUCCUCCUGUUUUGCAUCCACUGCCUCCAAGUAUGGGUUACUAUUGCGCACUUUGAGUGCACGGGUCCCACGGCUCAGAGAGAGGCACAGACUUCCAAGGGCUGCACAGUACGGCAGAGCUGGAACCAGGACUCUGGAUUCCUGACUCUGUUCAGCUGAGUCUGUCUUUACUUUCUCCUGGGUCACAUUCUGCUGAUGUUGGGAGGAGGCAAGUGGGUGCAGGGUGCCCCUUCCUCACUCCAGGACCGUCUGGGUUGGGAGGAAGGGAGGUGAAGGGUGUGUGCCUAGGCCCAGCCCCCCUGGCUCCCGGGCCGCCUUCUUGCUGCCAGAGAAAUCUGGCCAGGCCCGGGCUGGGGAGGGGGCCUGGGCGCGGUUUUCUCCUGGGGCGUGGCUGGCUCUUGUAUUCCAGGAUGGGCCUUGGGGGCUGCGUGGGGAAGGAGCUGGGAGCGGGGCCUGGGCUGCCAACGCCAUGGCCGGGCACUGCCAGAAACACAGCCCAAGCACCUUCUCCCAGCUCGAUGCUGAGGAUCCAGAGGUGAACACCAGAGAUGUGGUUCCGCCCUCUCUGAUCUUCAGGCCACUCUGCCCCAGCUGUGUCUCCAAGACUCUUGGCCUGGUCUUCUCUUUGGAGCCCGGGCGACUCUGGACUCCAGCCACGAGGACACACGGAGGAACCUUCGGUGCUUUUCUGGAGCCCUCAACAAUUCCCCGAAGACCUUAUCCUUUCCAGCUCCCGGGAUGAAGCCUCCUGUGGAUAGAGGCCCCCUCCUGGCUGGAGCUCAGCCAAGCACAGGGCCUGGCUGUGGGGGACGGCUCGAGGGGUGUGACGGAGGCUGGCCACCCACCGUCCCCUCUGCACCCACCAUGACCCACCUGCUGGGCCUGCCUGUCCGGGCCCGGAGACCCUUCCUGACCCCGUGUGGACUUCAUUCCUCCCGGCAUCCCUGCUCACGACCAGACAGAGCUCGGCCCGAACCCCACUGACCACCCCGUCCCCAAGGCCGGGUCUCAAAGGACCCUCCAGGACGGACGCAGGAAAGCAGGCUGGGAAUCCGGAGGAGCUGCCAGGGGUUGGGGGUGGGGGGGGCGUCGCAGCUCGGGGGUGCUGUGGGCUGGAGUCUCAUGUGCUGUUUGUCAUGUGAGCGAUUCUUAUUUUGGGGGGUGCCUUUUGGAUGGGGCUUCUCUGUGCUUCUCCUCUUCCUGAUGGUCACAGGGAGGAGGCAGGCAGGGUCGGGGGAGCGGGGGCCUUCCUCCGUGUCGCCGAGCUCUGGGAGGGGCAGCUGGAGGGGAGAGGGUGUGCCGCCUUGAAGGGGGAGAGUUUCCUAGAGAUGAGGGGACCUAGGCCAGGGGAGGUCGCCAGAAGGAGACAGACACUGGGCUUUGUUCCCACCGUCCAAAGAGAAUGGGCUAGAACCCCCCUGGCCCCAAGGCUUGAGGGGUCCCCCCAGCCUGAUGUCAGCCCCCUGCUCCUUGUUGCACCAAUCUCCAAUUGUGUCCUUGGGCAGCAAAGGCAGGCAGGCGGGCCCAGCCACAUGCAGCCUCCCCAUCACACGGCUGCAGACUCACUUCCGGCCCCUUCCGGGUCUCCCCUUAGGCCAAUCCCUCCAGGGGGCCGGUCCCAGUGCUUGUCCUGGAGCAGCCUCAGCCUUUCUUCAAAGCCCCUCAUCAUUUUCCUGGCAGGGGAGGGGGCCUGCAUGAGUCGGCUUGGCUGCCAUCACAGAAUACCCCAGACCGGGGGGCUUCAAAAGCAGAAAGGCAUUUUCUUGCAGUUCUGGAGGCUGGAGGUCCAUGAUCAAGAUGCCAGGGGUGGUUUCCGCUGAGGCCUCUCUCCUUGGCUGCAGGUGGCACCUUCCUACCGUGUCCUCACAUGGCCCCUUCUCUGUGCACACGCGCGGCGGGAGAGAGAGAGCACUGAUGUCUGUUCUUAUAAGGGCGCCAGUCCCAUCAGAUCAGGGCCCCGCCCUUAUGACCUCAUUUAGCCUUACUACCUCCUUAAAAGCCCUGUGUCCAAAUACAGCCACGUGGGGGUUACAGCUUCAACCUAUGAAUUUAGCCCGGAUGGGGUGCGUGAGGGGGGGGGGGGGGACGACACAAUGCAGUUCGCAACCCGUGCUCCCCACAAACCUGGAGCCAUCUCCCCUUCAGAGUCCCCACCCCCCACAGGGAGGGGAAGGAGGAGCAGAGUGAGGGAGGUACUGUGCUCAGGUGGCCCCAGGAGCCUUGGGAACACAGGGAACUGGCUGGACCCAGUGCAGCGAGGGGGCGUCCGCAGGAGAGGGAUGCCCUGGGAAGGGCCCGGGCACAGGGUCCCGAGGGCACGCUCUCUGCUGUUCAAUCUUGGGCAAGUCGCCUCACCUCUCUGAGUCCGAUUGAUUUCCAUUCUUGAAACAGGGGCCCUCUGCUCGCCGGGGUGGGGGGGGGGUGGUGCGCAGGGAGGUUCCCUCGAAAUCCCCUGCACGUCCAGUGCCUCGCUCUUAGUCGGUCCUCGGGAGGCACCCCCAUCCGUCCGGGAGUCCAGACUUAGAGCAUAUCUGGUCCAGGCGCUCUGACUGUGGACUCAGCAUCCCCGACCCAGAGGUGCUUCUGACGGCUCUUCCCCGGCCCGUUUUCUCAGCAUCCCUCUCUAACCAGCUUGGCGAAGUGGCUGCAUUUCAUGGCCUCCAUAGUAGCUCAAAGUGCUUCCUGGGGUAUUUCAAUUCUACCCUUCUCAUCAGAAUGGAGCACUUACCGUGGGUCCUUCCCUGUGUUAGGCCUUUUGAGGGAACACAGGGGACAAUCUGGCCAUCCCACGCGGGAGACAACCAGCUCACAUGGAGAAUUGGACAAUGGGGCAUAAAACGGUCCACUGAGGCACAGGUUCGGAGUGUUUAGGGGCUGGGAGUAAGAUCCCAGUGCGGGCUGCAGCAGGCUGGACAGGCUUCCCAGCGAGGCAGAACCAAGCAGGGCCACGAAGGAUGAGAAAGAUGUGGCUUAGCUGAGAGCUUCUAGGGGGAAAUUAGAGCAGAGAGUCCCAUAACACAUUCUAGGAGAUGUCACUGCUCUUUAAAAAAAAAAACGUGACUUGAAAUUCAGCAAGUUUCUGUAGUGCAGGACUUAUCAGAGCCUUUAAAAUACUAAUGGAGAUCUUGAAUACUCAAGGACAGACAGAGGAUGAAGUGUUCCCCCCAGACUUUACUGGCAACAGAACACUCUUCUUAUAGAGCAUCAUUUAGAAGUGUGGGAGAUGCCAGGCUGGGGUUUCCGUGGGAACACCACAGCAGUGAUAGGAGAUGACAUAUCUAGGGCAUGCUCAGGUGCUUGGCGGCAUCAGCUGGGAAGGCUGAAGACCAGGAGGGACCGGGGAGUCCUGGUGUCAGGAGUCAGGAGAGCUCUCUGCAGUUUCAUAUGCGGGAAGGGCAGGCCCAUGGUCGGAGUAGCCAGAGGCUGGCAGUUGUCGAUGGAAGACAUGCCCACCAGACACGGUGGUUCUGGGGCGUCAGACCUUUCGUGGGAAGAUGCUGGUGCGUGCACGUGUGCGUGUGGGAGUGUGUGCUGAGCGUGACAGGAUCCAGCCUUCUGGGAAGGGGCUGACCAGACCCAGGCAGGGGGUUUCCAGCCAGGACAAGGAGGACCUAUUUUUAGGGGAACUGAAGUGUCUGGGGGGAGGCCCUUGAGGCCUACCGCCAAGAAAUGGGGAAGGAAACGCUUUCGGGCAGGAUCCAUGUGGGUAGGCUUGAUUCUGGUAGGGGUGAGGGGUUUGGAGGCAGACCCCUGCCUGGGCAGGCCCGGUUCCCUGGCUGGUCGGGGUGGGGGGGCCUCGGGGCUGCAGCUGGAGGGGCCGGGCAGUGUUGCAUGGUGGGGUUAACCUACUAACCCAGGGCUCGGCCGGGACGCUGUGGCGAGUGAUGAGGUGCCUGGCCUUCUGCCAACCAACUAACCCACUAACCAGGCCGGAGCAUGCCCUACUAACCCCCCGCAGCCAGACCCUACUAACCUUGGAGCUCAUGGGCCUUUCAGGGGGCUGGGACGUGGGGGCAGACGAGGCUCCGGAAGGCCCUGCCUGUGGCCUGGGAUCUCUGUGCAGACCCGCAUUCCAGGACAGGGCAUGCAAACAGGACUCGCCACCAACCCUGCCACUUUGUGCUGGGCGACUUUGGGCAAGUGCCCUCACCUCUCUGAACCCCAGUUUCCUCAGAUGGGAGGACUGAUCCUUCCUUCACAGAUUGCAGUGGGAUUCCCGUGAAUAUAAAGGUCUUGGCACAUGGCAGGUAAUUAAAAAAAAAUAUAAGGGUGGGCAUGGGAGGCCCAGAAAACCUGGUUGAUCACGUCCCCUGCCUAGGCCCUGGUCCCUCUGGGUGUUCUGCACACAGACCCUUCUGCCUGGGGCCAGACUCUCGCUUGGAACCCCUAACCGUCUCUUCCCCCCAUUCUUCCUCCUCCUCAGCUUUCUUCUCCGUAGGCAGCUCUUUUGUUCGGUUACUAACCCGUCUAACCCGGGGGUGCCCAGCGGCGCCCCGAUCAUCCUUUAACAAACUAACAGACCUGCGUGUGCUCUUCCUUCUCUCCUAGUGACUCCCGCGUGUGUCUGCUGAGGUGCCCUGUCCGCUGGUGUGUGCUCUGACUUACUAACCCAGCCUCUACUAAUCCUGUUUUCUCUUCCUACUAACCCCAGCCCUGCCGAGCUCUGGGCCCUCCCGGGGGCUGGUCCGGCUCCUUUUGGCAAGCAGAUGUCCGGGGGCGGGCCCUGCAGACAGACACCCCAAUUGGCUGCUUGGGAAUCCACUGGGCCAGGUCUGGGGCAGGGGACUGCCCUAGGAACCCCGCCGGUGGCCCAGAGGAGGAGGCGGUCAUGCGGAGGUGGGGGCCGCCUGCCGGCAUGAGCAUCUCUCCUCUGUGCACAAGUCUGGUUGCCACUGGGAGCGGGAGGGACCAGGGAAACCUCUGGGGCGUGAGUGUGGAGGCCUGCGGGGCUGGAGGUGGAGCACUGGGCUUUUCCGCCCUGGGGCAGAGAGGGGGCCUGGGUGUCCUUCUUGGGAGGGAAGCGUGGGCAGAAUUUUCUCUGCUGCAAAGUGAUGGGCAGACCCAAGGUCCUGCACAGGAAGCCAGUGGGGGGCGUGUCCUAGACAGGAAGCCAGGAGAGGGGCGUGUCCUUCAAGGAAGUCAGGAAGGGGCGUGGCCCACACCGGAAGACAGGGGAAGGGGCGUGUCCUGCACAGGAAAUCAGCAAAGGGGCGUGUCCCACACCGGAAGUCAGUGAGGUGAGACUUCCAUACAUUGGAGGUCAAUGAAAGGGUCUUUCUCACGCUGGAAAUUACCAACUGGAGCAUUUAGCCCAGGAAAUCAGAAAGAGGGGGCAGUUCCCAUAUUUGAAGGGUGGAAAGAGGGGCAUUUCUUACCGACGUCAGUGAGAGGGGAGUUUCUGGCCCCACCCCAGGGCGUGAGAAGGCGUGGCCGAGAGAUCAGUGAGAGGGGCCUUUCCGACCACCGGAAGUUGGCUAGAGGGGCCCUUCCCCCCCACGCCUGAAGCGGAUGUGGGCCAUUUUUUCACACCGGAAGUCACUGACAAGGACUGUCACAUACCAGGAAGCUUGGGCAAGCAGUGGGGACAGAUGAUCCGCCCUGGGUCUGGGGUUGCGGGAGGAGCCGAUGGGACGCAGGAAGUGAACCCCCGUGGGCCCGCAGGAAUCGCAGCCAGGACCUCAGCCCGGCUCCCUGUCUGUCCCACCCACACCCCUGCUCCAGCCGUCUCCCCCAGAGCCCGCCAGCCGCUGAGCCGGGGCCACACCUGGGGGUGAUGUGCUGCCUCACCUCCAGUAGGCACCUUGGUCUCUGAGCUACUCGCUCCCUGGCGCCCUCGCACUAACUCUUGCUCUCCCCCAGCUAACCCCUGCCUCGCCCUGGCUGCCCCGGGGGCUGCCCCUAACAGCCGACCCCGCCCGCCUGGGAGUCCCAGGCUCCCGGCCUGACUCCCUCCGAGCGGCUCGUAAUUAACCUGUCCUUCACCUCCACUAACGCCUGCCCUCCUGGUCUGUUCCUUCCAGCAGAAACUAAUGGCUUGUGGAUUUCUUUCUGACUAACAACAGGUCUAACACUCCUCGUCACUAUUACUAUUAACAGCUUGGAUGUCGGCAUGGCUGGGACGGGGCUAACACAGGGAGAGGUGUAGCUGGUCGCGACGGAUGUGGUCCUCUAAAGGUGGUGCGGGGGUGGGGCGUGGCCGGGGCUGAGGGAGGAGUGGUACCCACCCAUGUGGGGUUAGAAGCAUAGUCACUUUCCAAGGUUUUUGCCACUGGAUAUAUCCUGUCAACCCCUCAUAAUCCGCAUUUGGGUUUUGGUUCUUGUAAACAAUAGCCUUAUAGCUGCAGUGGUCCAAACGAGUGGAUGCAGCCCUUGCAGCCCUCAAACGCCUGUCUGGUGUGUACAGAGAAUAGGCCAUUAUGUAUGGAAGAAUCAGUCACCAGCCCAGGGCAUAGAGUCAUUGAUCUGGGGACUUUGGAGUUUUGAAAGCCCUAGGACAUAAAGUUUUAGAUCAGAAUAUUCAGAAGGGUUAUAAAUCCAUCGCCCAUUUACACCUUAGUGUAAAUUAGCUCAGCUUCCUCUUUUAUCUUCCAUGCAAUUUUAGCUGCCCUGACAGAUGAGAGUUUGGCUGGAAGGGAGUUUGGCUCUCUUCGGGCAUGGGGGAGGUCCUUUGGGAGCAGAGAUGGGGAGCCACGGGGCCAGGGUUCCUGGGUGGCGAUGAAAGGUGGCAUCAGGUUGGGGGUGGGGUGGGAAGAGGGACCCGUUUUUCUGGCUCAGUCAGGAUCUGUGGGAGAGGACAGCUCGUGGCAGGGCCUGGAGGAUUGGAACAGCUCAGGGACAGGGUCAGAGGCCAGCCUGGGGGUCCUGCAGGCAGUUUGCUACGGUUCUUGAAUGCUGAUCUGGGGCGGAGAGGCUCUCUGAUUGCCAUGGGCUCAGAGCUGACCGGGUGGAGCUGGCAGCGAGGCCUGAAAGGUGAGGCAGGGAGGCUGAGCUGCAAAGGGAACCAGAGAGGAGAACGCUGCAGGCAGAGCUGCGGGAGGUGCGCUGGCUGCUGGCAGGGACCCGGAUGCGGCAGCGCCUGCCCUGGGGAAGCCCCUCUUCCCGCCCUCUAGUGGCCACUGGUCGCAUUUCACGCAAAGCAGGAAGCUCAGACGCUGCCCUCUCCGGGAGCUCCUCUUUAUUCGACGACCAAGAUUCGAUGCUGCUGAGGACCUACUGUGUGCCCAGCACUGCUCUGGGUGCAAAGACCCACACUUGGGUUUUUCCAUCAUGGUGCUUAUACAGCUCCGUGGGGGAGAUGGAGAAGUAAACAGAUAAUGCAGCGCGAUGGGUGCCGUGAUGGGGGGUCGGGCUGUGGGAGCACCUGGGAGACAGCGAAGGGUGACACGCACCUGCUCUGAGCCAGGCGCAGUGCUGAGUGGUGAUGAAACAGCGUCUGGACUUCAGGAGCCUCAAUGGUAGCGUGUCGGGUGGGCGUGGGGUAUAAAGUGUGGUGCAGGCAGGCAGCGUAGACAUUCUGAGGAGGGAGACAUCGAAGCCGAGCCCUGGCUGGGGCGUCCGUGCUGGGGAUGAGUUCCAGGCAGCGGGAAUGGUGGACACAGAGUUCUGGGGAUCAGAGAGGAUCGGAGAGAUUCUGGAAGGUUCGUGCAGAAUGCAGCAGGAGACAGACGGGAAGUGGACAAGUCCCAGGCUGGGGGCCGUGGAUGUGAUCUGAGAAGGGGAGAUGUUGGAUUUGAGUUUUAGCUGACAGUAUGGCUCUUUCAGCCCAGGUGAAAGUCUGAGGUGCUUACAACGAGUUCUGGUUAAAUUUUGGUUAACCGGCUAGAACUUCUUGAAACAAGCAGGGCCCUUAGGUUCAUCUUGAGAUGAACAGGAGCCACAGAUGCUCGCCCAGGUGGAAGUAGGUCUGCAGUGACGGGGACACAAAGAGGGCUGUGUUCCUGCGGGGCAGGGGCUUGGCGGAGGUGCCAGUGACGUCUUGGAAGAGGAGCCGUCUCGAAAGCAUGUCACCCCGGGCCCUGGUGGGACGCGGCUCCCGGAGGCGAUCCGAGGGGCUGUGGCCCAGGGCUGGAAGUCUGCAGGAGAAUCCCAUUGGAGAGGGAGCCCAGUUGUCUUGUGUGGCCGCGAGGGGGACACACAGGUGUGGAGUAAGCUUCCGCUGGGCUGAUCCUGGUCGCAGGGCGGGGCUAUGUCUUGGUGGGGAACGAGUCUGAGUCCCUGUGGGCAGAAGGAUUGGGGUGGGGCCACCUUUGAGAUGACGGUGGCGAGAGUCUAGGAUCCUGUGUGUGAGUGUGCGGGUGUGUGAGUGUGGGUCCUCGAGUUAAUACCUGUGGAAGCUGAGCCCGAGCAGGCCCACCCUGCCCAGCCUGGCCGCGCCUGCCGAUGUUCACUCUGGCCUUCAGUCCCCUGAGCAUCAAGCUCACUGGGAGCAGGGCCCAUGAGCUGGCGAACUGACCUCCCAGCCUGAAGAUGUAUCUCCAUCUUUUCUUAAUAGGCUGUGUAGAGGGGGUGGCCCCUGUGGUCUUGCCUGGUUGCGGUGUGGGGCACAUGGUGACACACAGCUGGGGGAUGCCAGUGGGAGGGGCGGUCCCAUCCCAACACAGGACCCCCAUGGCCCUCUUGAGAGUCUGUUCGGGGACCCGUUGUUUUAUUCUAACAGACCAGAGAAUAUAUUUUCCAUGUCAUUGCCUCCCGGGGAGGCCGAAUGUGGGGACAGAAAUUCUGCUGUAGAUUAAAAAUCAGAUUUUUCCAUGGAUCCAGCAAUGGCGUGUGGACUUGGCUUUUCAUUUUCACCCAAAGUGUAGCUCCUUUAGUUUAAGAUGCCGUUUUGAGGUUAAAAAGCAAUUCAUACCCAAGGGAUGGCUGUGGACUGGGAGACAGAUGGGAUGUGUGGUUUGUGGGAUGAAGGGAGCCAGUGGCAUUUUCAAGGAGCAGGAGCAGGCUCUGUCAGCCUUUUCUUAGGACCGUGACUUUAGAGGUCAAUAUAAGAGGGUAUUUAUUUAUUUUUUAUUUUAUUUAUUUAUUUAUUCUUUUGUGAGGAAGAUUGUCACUGAGCUAACAUCUGUGCCAAUCCUUCUCUAUUUUGUAUGUGGGACGCCGCCACAGCAUGGCUUAAUGAGCAGUGUGUAGGUCCACACGCGGGAUCUGAACUGGCGAACCCCAGGCCGCUGAAGCAGAGUGUGUGAACUUAACCACUACACCCCCGGGCUGGCCCCUAUUUUUAUUUUUAAUUGUGGGAAAAUACACAUAAUAAAAUGUACCAUCUUAACCAUUUUUACGUGUACAGUUCAGUGGUAUUAAGUACAUUCACAUUGUUGUGUAAUCAUUACCACUAUUGGUAUAUUUUUUAAUAGCACUACUUUGUGCCUAGGACAGCACUUCAGAGAAAACCCAGGUUCUCACUGUCAGGAAGCUUACACUUCACUGAGAAAGCAAAGAGUUCCUUGGUGACAAAGAAAAAGGUGGAAAGAAUUUAGUGUAUCGGGGUGAAGGGCUGGCAAAUACAUGACACGCGUAUUGCCACUCUCCCUUCCAGCACCCAGGACAGACAUUGCUAGCUGAUCACCGAUCUCUCUUUGGGAACCUGGCUGCAGCUUCAGGAUCUUUCUCCAAACGGUGCUCCAGGGGUUUUUGGCAAUUCAGAGUCAGUCCUAGGAUUGAGAUUCCUGACAGACCUCGGUUUGAACGCCAGCUUUGCCACCUGCCUGCUGUGAGG